rnacentral:rRNA from 1 species
GACAGAGGGUGCAAACGUUGCUCGGAAUUACUGGGCGUAAAGGGCGUGUAGGCGGGAAGGCAAGUCGGGCGUGAAAGCCCCAGGCUCAACCUGGGAACUGCACUCGAAACUGCCUUUCUUGAGUGCCGGAGAGGAAAGCGGAAUUCCUGGUGUAGAGGUGAAAUUCGUAGAUAAUCAGGAGGAACACCAGUGGCGAAGGCGGCUUUCUGGACGGUAACUGACGCUGAGACGCGAAAGCGUGGGGAGCAAACAGG